AUUGAACGCUGGCGGCAGGCCUAACACAUGCAAGUCGAACGAGUGGCGGACGGGUGAGUAAUGUCUGGGAAACUUCCCGAUGGAGGGGGAUAACUACUGGAAACGGUAGCUAAUACCGCAUACCAUCGGAUGUGCCCAGAUGGGAUUAGCUAGUAGGUGGGGUAACGGCUCACCUAGGCGACAAUCCCUCGCUGGUCUGAGAGGAUGACGGGCCACACUGGAACUGUGACACGGUACAGAUUCCGACGGGAGGCAGAAGUGGGAAAUAUUGCACAAGGGGGGCAAGCGUGCGGCAGCAAUGCCGCGUGUAUGAAGAGGGCCUUCGGGUGGUAAAGUACUUUCAGCGAGGAGGCGUUACUCGAAGAAGAAGCACCGGCUAACUCCGUGCCAGCAGCCGCGGUAAUUC
rnacentral:rRNA from 1 species